rnacentral:miRNA from 1 species
AGGCCAGAAUAGUGUAGUUUGUA